AACGAACGCUGGCGGCAGGCCUAACACAUGCAAGUCGAGCGAGACCUUCGGGUCUAGCGGCGGACGGGUGAGUAACGCGUGGGAACGUGCCCUUUGGUACGGAAUAGCCCCGGGAAACUGGGAGUAAUACCGUAUAAGCUCUUCGGAGGAAAGAUUUAUCGCCAAAGGAUCGGCCCGCGUUGGAUUAGGUAGUUGGUGGGGUAAUAGCCUACCAAGGCAACGAUCAGUAGCUGGUCUGAGAGGAUGAUCAGCCACACUGGAACUGAGACACGGUCCAGACUCCUACGGGAGGCAGCAGUGGGGAAUUUUGGACAAUGGGCGCAAGCCUGAUCCAGCAAUGCCGCGUGCAGGAAGAA
rnacentral:rRNA from 1 species